CACAUGCAAGUCGAGGGGCAGCAUGAACUUAGCUUGCUAAGUUUGAUGGCGACCGGCGCACGGGUGAGUAACACGUAUCCAACCUGCCGAUGACUCGGGGAUAGCCUUUCGAAAGAAAGAUUAAUACCCGAUGGCAUAGUUCUUCCGCAUGGUGGAACUAUUAAAGAAUUUCGGUCAUCGAUGGGGAUGCGUUCCAUUAGGUUGUUGGCGGGGUAACGGCCCACCAAGCCUUCGAUGGAUAGGGGUUCUGAGAGGAAGGUCCCCCACAUUGGAACUGAGACACGGUCCAAACUCCUACGGGAGGCAGCAGUGAGGAAUAUUGGUCAAUGGACGAGAGUCUGAACCAGCCAAGUAGCGUGAAGGAUGACUGCCCUAUGGGUUGUAAACUUCUUUUAUACGGGAAUAAAGUGAGGCACGUGUGCCUUUUUGUAUGUACCGUAUGAAUAAGGAUCGGCUAACUCCGUGCCAGCAGCCGCGGUAAUACGGAGGAUCCGAGCGUUAUCCGGAUUUAUUGGGUUUAAAGGGAGCGUAGGCGGACGCUUAAGUCAGUUGUGAAAGUUUGCGGCUCAACCGUAAAAUUGCAGUUGAUACUGGGUGUCUUGAGUACAGUAGAGGCAGGCGGAAUUCGUGGUGUAGCGGUGAAAUGCUUAGAUAUCACGAAGAACUCCGAUUGCGAAGGCAGCUUGCUGGACUGUAACUGACGCUGAUGCUCGAAAGUGUGGGUAUCAAACAGGAUUAGAUACCCUGGUAGUCCACACAGUAAACGAUGAAUACUCGCUGUUUGCGAUAUACAGUAAGCGGCCAAGCGAAAGCGUUAAGUAUUCCACCUGGGGAGUACGCCGGCAACGGUGAAACUCAAAGGAAUUGACGGGGGCCCGCACAAGCGGAGGAACAUGUGGUUUAAUUCGAUGAUACGCGAGGAACCUUACCCGG
rnacentral:rRNA from 1 species